GGGCAGGCUGCUUUAACACGAAGAACACUGAAUAAUAACUGUGUUUACAUAUCUGCAACAUCAUCUACAAUAUUCAUAACAUCACAGUGUAUGGAUAACAAUUUAAGGUCUGACUGGUGUUUACAAAGGCAGGCUGAAGCUGAGUGGAGCUAGGCCAGGGAUGACGUGAUGUCAUAAAACUCUAUGAACCAAUAGGAAUGAUGGGUCCGUCGUGCCCAGGUACUACUGAAGCUUCCCCACAGCGCAGCAUCAGACUGAAGAAGUACAAGAAAUCAUGCUUCACUCUCAAUCUUUAAUUUUGUCAAUAAAUCAUUUAUCUUGUUGAUGGUGUGGUCCAUGCUAGUGAAUAUUAGUGUGUCUAAUAAUCUCCUGUGUUUUUGUUACCUUAGAAUGAACCUUUUAUACUACUCUGAGAGUAAGUCCUCUUCCAUGGAGUCCGCCAUGAAAUCCCAGAAUGGACAAACCACACACUGGUGCUGUGUCUCAACUUGGAUCCUUCCAUUAAUGUACUUUUAUAUCUUACCCUAGUGUGCUAACAUCAUCAGGGUAGUGUUGUCUUAAUUUGAGUACGGCCAUUGUGCACUUACCAGAAAUAAUUAUUGCAACAAUUUACCACUGCUUCUUUUUAUUGUCAGAUUGCAACAUUUGACCACAAAAAUAUAAACAUAAAACAUAUGUAACUGCUUUAUCUCAGCAGUUUCCUCAUAAUGCCAGUGGUCACUCCCCAUCCACUACAUAGUCAAAAUGGCGACUACUGAAAAUGUCCAGCAUUCGACUUUGUGUACCAUCCAGAUACUCUGGACACUGACUUUUGACAUAAGUGACAGUAUGAACACACUUAUGAACUCAAAAGAGUAAGUGUAAGUGUGGAAGCAUGGGUUCACAGAGACAGACCCUUUUGCCUUUUUUCAUGCAGUUUCAAGGCCACUGUAGGUUCUCCCUCAUGUUAGGAAGGUGAGAAGUAUUUAUCUGGCUGUAAUUUGCAACCUCACCACUAGUUAUGACUAAAUAUUACACACUGCACCUUUUUAUUUGUUUAUUUUGUUAAUAAAAAAACAGACUUUGUUGAAGAAAAAUGUUGAAUGUAUUGUUGAACUGUAAAUUAAAC